UUGAUAACAAUUUUUCGUAAUUUCUUGGAAAAUACUAUUAUUAUUGAGGACUUCUGGGCAUAGCUAAGCCAUAUGUUUGCUGAUAGACCCAGCUGACAUCGUUUUCUGGUGUAAGACAGAAGCGGAUAGAAAUAUGUCAUUGAUUUACUGUCUCUAUAAGAUUUCAUCAUUGCUAUGUAAGUAUUACUGCUCAAAAUAUUUCGGCUAUGUACGUUAUUUUUGAAAUUGAGUGUCUUUAAAUAGGUUAGUGGUAUUUUAUAAUGAGGAUAUUUCACAUUGUAAUGUAAGCGUUAGUUAGUAGUGUAAUAGUUUUUGUGACGCAUCAUGUCUUUCUAUGAUUUACCAUGCAAAGCAGUUAACGUUAGCAAUAAAACGCUACCACAAUGCAGAACAAUUAACAAUCAUAAUCGCCAUCUUACUUGUAAGCUAUGAUCUAUAGUUUUACAGAUUAAAUAACUAAAUACAAUUUAUAAAUCUAUCAAGGAACCUCAUCACUUGACACUUCUCUUCUCGAGGCAGUCGUAGACGAUGACAUCAUUUUUGGAACUUACAGGCGACCGUAGCUUCUCCUACGUCGUUGGAGAGGGAGGGGUGAGGGGAGUGGGGGGUAUUCAUUUGGUUGCAAUCUGCAACCUCGCCGCUAGAUUCCAAUUCUACACACUGCACCUUUAAUUACCUUUGAGUUGUUAUGAGUGCCUUAGCAUGGCUCCACACUAACCUUUUACUCUAGGAGCACCAAACCAAAUUUAGGAGCACCACACAAACCACAUUCAACAUCAGCUCAACACAGCCAUAUUUUUUUCCAUCUUCAUGUUAAUUGUGUUACUGAUAUAUUUGCUUUGGUAAUAAAUACAGAUAUUUAACAGAAGGAGAAGAUACAUUCAAAUACAACCAGGCCAACACACUAAAAAGUUAAAUAGAAAAUCACGCACGUGCGCGCACACACACAAUCACACUAAUUCUCUGCCUCCAGAUGAACAGUUUAGAAAUUAAUGUGAUAUAGCCAACAAUGAUUAUAAAAAGAGAGCAUAUUUGCAACUAGCACUGGUGCUCCUAGAUAUCCAUUUUAGAAGCACAAUCACCAAAAACAGUAGGAAAAGGCUCCUAAAUUGAAUCACUCUGGAGCCCUGUUAUGCCAGUGUUGAUAGUGCAUUUUAAGUGCAUCAUAAGGCACAAUAAUGGUGCUACAAAGCAUUAUGUUUCCCACAUAGAAAGUUUCUGUUUGAAUUUGAGCGGGCUUCUCUUUGUUGUGAUGAUGAGUCUAUUUUAAUGGAUAAAUCCCCUGUAGACUCAUUGAUAUUUUUUCUGUCAACAGAGGGUUCACCCCAACAAAUUGACAAAGUAUACAGAAUUAAUAGAGUCCAACAGAAAGCGAAAAUCUUCCUCUUCUGACGAACCUCCUAUGAAGAAUGCGAAGAUCACAAAUGGAUUUUCCCUCGCUGUCCCACGGGUAGCACAGGCAACGCUUGACAAGCUCUUGCUAAAUUUUAUAUGUGAAGGCAGCGAACCAUUUUCUCUGGUUGAGAUACCAUCCUUCAAGAGUAUAAUAGAAACCUUGCAACCUCAGUGUACAGUAAUGACAAGGAAAACGUUAUGCUCUAAAAUACAGGAAGCUGCAAAGACCAUGAAGAGCAUAAUCAUUAAAAAGUUGAGCGCUGUGAACCACGUUGCUACCACAACAGACUGCUGGUCUGCCAGACAGCGUAGUUACUUAGGUGUCACCUGUCACUGGAUAGACCACGUCUCUUUAGAGAGGAACUCCGCUGCACUGGCUUGCAGACGUGUCAAAGGCUCGCACACAUUUGAUGUCCUUGCUGCAGCAUUAGAGGAAAUACAUUCUGAGUACCACAUCAGGGAGAAGGUGACCAGGACGACAACAGACAGUGGCACAAACUUCCUGAAGGCCUUUCGAGUGUAUGGGGAGGAGAAAGAGGAAGACGUCGCUGAUGGACAGGAGGAGAGAGACUCCCUCCUUGAUCAUGCAUCAGAAGAUGAUGAUUCAUUAGAGGUGGAGUAUCAAGAUGUGUCUGCUAUUUUAGAUGAUGACACCGGCCUUGAGUACCAACUUCCAAGGCAUCAAAAGUGUGCAUGCCAUCUCCUCAAUCUUAUUUCAACAGUUGAUACCACUGCUGCAGAAGCUGGCAGCGGAACAUACAAGAGGCUGUCUCGGUCUGCUUUUGCAAAAUGUAAUGCUCUGUGGAAUAAAACCAGCAGGUCAACCAUAGCUUUUGAAACAGUGGAACGUGAAUGCAAAUUGCAGUUCCUCCGACCCAAUCAGACCCGUUGGAGCUCCCUGUUCCUCGCUGUAGAAAGGGUUGUGCGCAUCCAGAAGGAGCAAGGAGAAAAAGCAAUUCGCAAUGUAUGCACAGCAUUAAAGAUAAAGAUGCUCAAUCCUGCUGAAAUGGGAUUUUUGGGUGAGUACGCUGCUGUAAUGAAGCCUGUUGCCAUGGCCCUUAACAUCCUCCAAGGGGAAUCAUCUGUGCAUAUGGGGUUCCUGCUGCCAACCCUUCACCAGUUGCAGGACAAGCUGAAGAAGCUGGAGUCAACUUGCAAAGUGUGUAGACCUCUGCUUGACGCCCUGCAGCAAGGGAUCCAGAAACGUUUUGGAGAGGUCAUGAAAGAACCUGAGCUGAUUGCUGCAGCUAUACUUCUACCAAAAUUCAGAACAUCCUGGACCACAGAGGAGAGCACCUUAAAAGCUGGCCUUGACUACAUCAAAAAUCACCUAGACACUGACUUAGAUGACGAUGCACGCUCAAACAGCGGCCACUCUGACGAAGAUGACUUUUUUGCAUCCAUGAAGUCAGGAAACUCACAAACAGGAGAGCUGGAGAGGUACCUUUCAUGUCCAUCCACUGGAGGUAUGGAUCUAUUGCAUUCCUUUCCUCAAAUCAAGAAAUUGUCGCUCAAAGUCAACACAAGUCUUCCAGCAUCUGCAGCCUGUGAGAGACUUUUUAGUCAUGCAGGGCUCCUGUUCACUGUCAAAAGAUCACAGCUUCUCUACAAAAAUCUUGAGAGCCAACUACUGUUGAAGCUUAACAGUCACUUCACUAAGUGAUUCUUCAGGACAGAUCAUGCAAGAACACUAAUUUUCACCAAAACACACACACAUACACAUACAUACACACACACAAUUUCAUUCAGCAAAACACAUUCAGUCUCAUCUAUAUACACAGUCUCACAUUCACUGAUUUUUCAACUUGUCACUGCAAGUAAAGCGUGAAGAGUUCACACACAGUAUUGUUACCUAGGUAUUGGUUUCAAAAGAUUUAUGUUGUGAAAAAGAAUGAUAAGAGAAUGUUUUGAAACUACUAAGUUGUUAUCUGUUUCACUACUUUUCAUUCAGCGAAACACAUUCAGUUUCUCAUUUGUAUACACACCUAGUCUCUCAUUUACUGAUUUUUAAACUUGUCACUCCAAAUAAUGUUUGAAGAGUUCAAACACAGUGCUGUUUACUAGGCACCGGUUUCAAAAGCUUUAUGUUAUGAAAAAGAGUGACAGAAGAGAAUGUUUUCAAACUACUAAAUUGAGUUUCAAGGAUUUAUCAAAGUGUUUCUUGUGACUGAAUUUAUGUUAUUUUGUAAAGAUUUAAUGAAUUAUUGUGUAUUGUUUUAUUGAAAGGGAUAUGCUUUAGGCCAUAUUUGAAUUUGGCCAUGGCUAUUUUAUAUUUUGUUUAUUUAUCAUUUUCAUUUAUAAUUUUAUAUUUUGGACAUUUGGAUAUUUAUGUUCAUCUUGCUCUGCUCAUUUCAACAAUAAAUCAUAUAGAAUGAAGUAACUCAGUACUUGAGUAGCCUUUUCACUAAAUACUUUCUUACUCUUACUCAAGUAAUUAUUUGGAUGACUACUUUUACUUCUACUUGAGUCAUUGUUAUUUUAAAGUAACAAUACUUUUACUUGAGUACAGUUUUUGGCUACUCUACCCACCUCUGUUGAUUAGUAAAUGUACCAAUCUGACUCCCGGAACUCACACUAGCAAUUCAGACCGUGUAGGAAAAUACAAGAGAGCAGUAGAUAUCAUGCAAGGACACAUAGCAGCGGCAGGGGUACCCCUUCCUGA